CCGCGGUAAUACGGAGGGUGCAAGCGUUAAUCGGAAUUACUGGGCGUAAAGCGCACGCAGGCGGUCUGUCAAGUCGGAUGUGAAAUCCCCGGGCUCAACCUGGGAACUGCAUUCGAAACUGGCAGGCUUGAGUCUUGUAGAGGGGGGUAGAAUUCCAGGUGUAGCGGUGAAAUGCGUAGAGAUCUGGAGGAAUACCGGUGGCGAAGGCGGCCCCCUGGACAAAGACUGACGCUCAGGUGCGAAAGCGUGGGGAGCAAACAGGAUUAGAUACCCUGGUAGUCCACGCCGUAAACGAUGUCUACUUGGAGGUUGUGCCCUUGAGGCGUGGCUUCCGGAGCUAACGCGUUAAGUAGACCGCCUGGGGAGUACGGCCGCAAGGUUAAAACUCAAAUGAAUUGACGGGGGCCCGCACAAGCGGUGGAGCAUGUGGUUUAAUUCGAUGCAACGCGAAGAACCUUACCUGGUCUUGACAUCCACGGAAGUUUUCAGAGAUGAGAAUGUGCCUUCGGGAACCGUGAGACAGGUGCUGCAUGGCUGUCGUCAGCUCGUGUUGUGAAAUGUUGGGUUAAGUCCCGCAACGAGCGCAACCCUUAUCCUUUGUUGCCAGCGGUCCGGCCGGGAACUCAAAGGAGACUGCCAGU
rnacentral:rRNA from 1 species